rnacentral:rRNA from 1 species
AACGGCCGCGGUAUCCUAACCGUGCGAAGGUAGCGUAAUCACUUGUUCUUUAAAUGAGGACUAGUAUGAAUGGCACCACGAGGGUUAAGCUGUCUCCUUUUUCUAAUCAGUGAAACUAAUCUCCCCGUGAAGAAGCGGGGAUUUCCUUAUAAGACGAGAAGACCCUAUGGAGCUUAAAACAAAUUAACAUCUGCUUCUAUCUAUUUUGUUCCCGAACUUACACAUAAAAUAUAGCACUACUGAUUAAUAGUUUUCGAUUGGGGUGAUCAUGGAGUAAAAACCAACCUCCACGACGAAAAGGACCACUUCCCUGAGCUAAAAGCUACAACUUUAGGCACUAAAAAAUUAACGCACUUUGACCCAAAUUUUUGAGCAACGAACCAAGUUACCCUAGGGAUAACAGCGCAAUCCAUUUCAAGAGCCCCUAUCGACAAAUGGGUUUACGACCUCGAUGUUGGAUCAGGGUAUCCCAGUGGUGCAGCCGCUACUAAAGGUUCGUUUGUUCAACGAUUAAAACCCUACGUGAUCUGAGUUCAGACCGGAGAAAUCCAGGUCAGUUUCUAUCUAUAAAGGGCUUUUUCUAGUACGAAAGGACCGAAAAAGCAUGGCCAAUGACCAAUUAAGCCAUAUAAAUUACUCAUGCUUUCAACUUAAUUAGAAAUAAACCUACCAUAAAUCUCAAAAAAAGAGAAGUUAACGUAGCAAAACCUGGCCCUGCAA